ensembl:lncRNA
CGGCCCCAUUGAAACUCAUCCAGUUAAGCUGGCAGAGUGAAGAGAGAACAAAAACCAAGCAGGCAAAGAGCAGAGCUGUCCAGAGGGGGCAGGGCUUGGGGCAGGGCCUGUGCCGGAGGGUGGUCCAGCAGAGUGGUGGCCUCGGGGCCCAGGCUGGAGGGGGCCUGGCACAGUUGAGGCCUGGUGUGGGCCCAGAAGGAAGGGGGCCCAGGCACAGGUAGAGCCUCGGGGCCUAGGCUGGAGGAGGACCAGGUGCAGUUAGGGCUGCACUGGGGGGGGCCGAGCUGGAGGGGGGCCUAGCAGAGUUGAGGCCUCCUCUUGGCCCAGACCAGAGGGAGCCCCGGCACUGCCCAGGCUUUGGGGCCUAGGGUGGAGGAGGAGCAGGCACAGUUGGGGCUGCUUUGGGGCCUGGGCUGGAGGGGGGCCUGGCACAGUUGAGGCCUGCUCUUUUCCCAGACCAAAGGGAGCCCCGGCACAGCCUGGGCCUUGGGUCCUAGGAUGGAGUAGGACCAGACACAGAUGGGGCUGCCCUUGGUCCCAGGAUGGAGGAGGACAUGGCACAGCUGGGGCUGCUUUGGGGUCCAGGAUGGAGAAGGACCAGGCUCAGUUGGGGCUGUGUUGGGGUUGAGGAUGGAGGAGGACCAGGUGCAGUUGGGGUUGCACUGGGGGGGCCCGAGCUGGAGGGAGGCCUAGCAGAGUUGAAGCCUCCUCUGGGCCCAGACCAAAGGGCGCCCCGGCACAUCCUGUACCUUGGGGCCCAGGAUGGAGGAGGACCAGGCACAGUUGGGGCUGCCUUGGGGCCCGAGCUGGAAAGGUGCCUGGCACAGUUGGGGCUGCUUUGGGGCCUGGGCUGGAGGGGGGCCUGGCACAGUUGAGGCCUGCUCUUGGCCCAGACCAAAGGGAGCCCCGGCACAGCCAGGCUCUUGGUGCCCAGGAUGAAGCAGGACCAGGCACAGUUGGGGCUGCUUUGGGGCCCAGGAUGGAGGAGGAGCAGGCACAGUUGGGGCUGCUUUGGGGCCUGGGCUGGAGGGGGGCCUGGCACAGUUGAGGCCUGCUCUUGGCCCAGACCAAAGGGAGCCCCGGCACAGCCAGGCUCUUGGUGCCCAGGAUGAAGCAGGACCAGGCACAGUUGGGGCUGCUUUGGGGCCCAGGAUGGAGGAGGACCGGGCGCAGUUCGGGCUGCUUUUGGGGCCCGAGCUGGAGUCGGGCCUAGCAGAGUUGAGGCCUCCUCUGGGCCCAGACCAAAAAGGGCCCAGUUACAGCUAGGGCCUUGCGACCCAGGAUCAAGAAGGACCAGACCCAGUAUGGGCUGCUUUCGGGCCCAGGAUGGAGGAGGACCAGGCACAGUUAGGGCUGCUUUGGGGCCCAGGAUGGAAGGCGGCCUGGCAUAGUUGAGGCCUCGUCUGGGCCCAGACAAAAGAAGGCCCAGGCACAGCCAGGGCUUUGGGGCCCAGGAUGGAAGAGAACCAGGCUCACUUGGGGCUGCUUUUGGGGCUCAGGCUGGAGGGGGGCCUGGCACAUUUGGAGCUGCUUUGAGGCCUUGGCUGGAGAUGGGCCUUGCACAGUUGGGGUGGCUUUGGGGCUUGGGCUGGAGUGGGGCCUGGCACAGAUGGGGCAGAUUUGGGGCCCGGGCUGGACCAGGCACAGGUGAGGCCUUGUCUGGGCCCAGACAGAAGGGAGCCCAGGCACAGCCUGGGCGCAGUUGGGGCCUAGGAUGGAGGAGGACCAGACACAGUUGGGGCUGCCUUUGGUCCCAGGAUGGAGGAGGAGCAGGCACAGUUGGGGCUGCUUUGGGGCCCAGGAUGGAGGAGGACCGGGCGCAGUUGGGGCUGCUUUGGGGCCCAGGAUGGAGGAGACCCAGGCACAGUUGGGGCUGCUUUGGGGCCCAGGCUGGUGGGAGGCCCGGCACAGCCAGAGCCUUGUGGCUGCACUCUCUCUGUACAGUUCAACCUUGAUCCAUAACCUAAAAUGGUAACUGUAGUGAAAGGCAGUAGCUGAUCCAGCUGCUUUCCUGUGUUUUAAUUUUCCUAUGAGUGGGGAAGGACUCAAGCUAGUAAACAAAGAGCCCUUUCUGAAGAACAGGACUCAGGAAGUAUUAGCACAGAGCAGAUCUGCCAGUAGAG